rnacentral:rRNA from 1 species
GAUGAACGCUAGCGACAGGCUUAACACAUGCAAGUCGAGGGGCAGCGGGGUAUGGCAACACACUGCCGGCGACCGGCGCACGGGUGAGUAACGCGUAUGCAAUUUGCCUAUCAGCGGGGGAUAACCCGGCGAAAGUCGGACUAAUACCGCAUAAAACAGGGGUUCCGCAUGGGGAUAUUUGUUAAAGAUUCAUCGCUGAUAGAUAGGCAUGCGUUCCAUUAGGCAGUUGGCGGGGUAACGGCCCACCAAACCGACGAUGGAUAGGGGUUCUGAGAGGAAGGUCCCCCACAUUGGUACUGAGACACGGACCAAACUCCUACGGGAGGCAGCAGUGAGGAAUAUUGGUCAAUGGCCGGGAGGCUGAACCAGCCAAGUCGCGUGAAGGAUGAAGGUUCUAUGGAUUGUAAACUUCUUUUGUGCGGGAAUAAAGUCGGGGAUGCGUCCCCGUUUGCAUGUACCGUACGAAUAAGCAUCGGCUAACUCCGUGCCAGCAGCCGCAGUAA